rnacentral:rRNA from 1 species
AAACAAAGUACACCACCCUGAACGCGCCCGAUCUCGUCUGAUCUCGGAAGCUAAGCAGGGUCGGGCCUGGUUAGUACUUGGAUGGGAAAAACAAAAUACAAAGCAGUGUGUAAAGAGGAAACUAUUUUCU